UACGGGGGGGGCAAGCGUUGUCCGGAAUCACUGGGCGUAAAGGGCGCGUAGGCGGCGCGGUAAGCGUGCGGUGAAAGCCCGGGGCUCAACCCCGGGUCGGCCGUGCGGACUGCCGGGCUGGAGCACUGUAGAGGCAGGUGGAAUUCCGGGUGUAGCGGUGGAAUGCGUAGAUAUCGGGAGGAACACCAGUGGCGAAGGCGGUUGCCUGGGGCUUUGCUGACGCUGAUGCGCGAAAGCGUGGGGAGCGAUCCGG
rnacentral:rRNA from 1 species